rnacentral:hammerhead_ribozyme from 1 species
AUUUAGCUGAUGAGUCCCAAACAGGACGAAAUGUGCGUUUUGGAU